UAGUCUUUGGAGAAGAGAACUUGGGUCCUGAAUCAAAAUUAGCAUCCGUGUUAUCCUUGGCUCCAUCCGCAUCAUCCCCAUCAGUCAUAUUAGUAUCCUUAUCCAUGUCCGAUACAUCAAAGAGAGUAGGACUCUCAAUCUCCACCUGAAGAGUGUAUCUCAUCCCCUCAUAAGUCCACAUGACCUCGUCUAGAAUGAUCUGAAUAUCUAUCACGCUCACCGGCAUCCUUGCGACUCCUUUAGCUC
rnacentral:lncRNA from 1 species